AUGAACGCUAGCGACAGGCUUAACACAUGCAAGUCGAGGGGCAGCACAGGUAGCAAUACCGGGUGGCGACCGGCGCACGGGUGAGUAACGCGUAUGCAACUUGCCUAUCAGAGGGGGAUAACCCGGCGAAAGUCGGACUAAUACCGCAUGAAGCAGGGAUCCCGCAUGGGAAUAUUUGCUAAAGAUUCAUCGCUGAUAGAUAGGCAUGCGUUCCAUUAGGCAGUUGGCGGGGUAACGGCCCACCAAACCGACGAUGGAUAGGGGUUCUGAGAGGAAGGUCCCCCACAUUGGUACUGAGACACGGACCAAACUCCUACGGGAGGCAGCAGUGAGGAAUAUUGGUCAAUGGCCGAGAGGCUGAACCAGCCAAGUCGCGUGAGGGAUGAAGGUUCUAUGGAUCGUAAACCUCUUUUAUAAGGGAAUAAAGUGCGGGACGUGUCCCGUUUUGUAUGUACCUUAUGAAUAAGGAUCGGCUAACUCCGUGCCAGCAGCCGCGGUAAUACGGAGGAUCCGAGCGUUAUCCGGAUUUAUUGGGUUUAAAGGGUGCGUAGGCGGCCUUUUAAGUCAGCGGUGAAAGUCUGUGGCUCAACCAUAGAAUUGCCGUUGAAACUGGGGGGCUUGAGUAUGUUUGAGGCAGGCGGAAUGCGUGGUGUAGCGGUGAAAUGCAUAGAUAUCACGCAGAACCCCGAUUGCGAAGGCAGCCUGCCAAGCCAUGACUGACGCUGAUGCACGAAAGCGUGGGGAUCAAACAGGAUUAGAUACCCUGGUAGUCCACGCAGUAAACGAUGAUCACUAGCUGUUUGCGAUACACUGUAAGCGGCACAGCGAAAGCGUUAAGUGAUCCACCUGGGGAGUACGCCGGCAACGGUGAAACUCAAAGGAAUUGACGGGGGCCCGCACAAGCGGAGGAACAUGUGGUUUAAUUCGAUGAUACGCGAGGAACCUUACCCGGGUUUGAACGCAUUCGGACCGAGGUGGAAACACCUUUUCUAGCAAUAGCCGUUUGCGAGGUGCUGCAUGGUUGUCGUCAGCUCGUGCCGUGAGGUGUCGGCUUAAGUGCCAUAACGAGCGCAACCCUUGCCACUAGUUACUAACAGGUAAAGCUGAGGACUCUGGUGGGACUGCCAGCGUAAGCUGCGAGGAAGGCGGGGAUGACGUCAAAUCAGCACGGCCCUUACAUCCGGGGCGACACACGUGUUACAAUGGCGUGGACAAAGGGAAGCCACCUGGCGACAGGGAGCGAAUCCCCAAACCACGUCUCAGUUCGGAUCGGAGUCUGCAACCCGACUCCGUGAAGCUGGAUUCGCUAGUAAUCGCGCAUCAGCCAUGGCGCGGUGAAUACGUUCCCGGGCCUUGUACACACCGCCCGUCAAGCCAUGGGAGCCGGGGGUACCUGAAGUGCGUAACCGCGAGGAGCGCCCUAGGGUAAAACUGGUGACUGGGGCU
rnacentral:rRNA from 1 species